ACGCUCGACACCUACGUGAGGCAGCAGUGGGGAAUAUUGCACAAUGGGGGAAACCCUGAUGCAGCGAUGCCGCGUGAAGGAAGAAGUAUCUCGGUAUGUAAACUUCUAUCAGCAGGGAAGAAAAUGACGGUACCUGACUAAGAAGCCCCGGCUAACUACGUGCCAGCAGCCGCGGUAAUCUGAGCGGGCUGGCAAGGC
rnacentral:rRNA from 1 species